rnacentral:rRNA from 1 species
AGGAUUAGAUACCCUAGUAUUAUAAUAAGCUUAUUAUAAGAGAUUAAAGUUAUGAAAUCUAAUAUUUUUGGCGGUUAAUUAAUAAGUUAGAGGAGCUUGUCAUGAAUAAGAAUCUACUCUAUAUAUUAAAGUUAGUAAAAGGUUUAUUCAUCUCCGUUAAAUUUUAAAGAUUUAAUUGAAUAUUGAAAUCAGGUCAAGAUGUAGCAUUUCUGAAGAAUUUAUUAGCUACAGUUAUUAUUUAAUGGAAUUUUUUAUGUUAAGGGACAAACAAAAUUGAAUUUAGAUGUAAUAACUAAUUAGAAAGUUAGUAUGAAUUUAGUUAAUUAAUGUAUAUAUUGCCCGUCGUCUCUAUAUCAAUGUAGAGUAAGUCGUAACAAAGUA